UGGAGACUGGAGACUGACGUCAUCAACAUCGGUAUGAAAGCUUACAUAUAUUGGUGAAGGGAUAUAUGGUACAAGUCUCGGAAUGUGGUGAAGCACUUCUUAUGCAUCAUAACUUGUUGUUUCAGAGAGAUUUGAUGUGGUGGUGGACAACGUGAAGAGGCGUGACGAAAUGAAUGACAGUAAGAAGGAUGGCGUGCUACUGGACGC